CAAUAGCGUAUAUUAAAGUUGUUGCAGUUAAAAAGCUCGUAGUUGGAUUUCUGGUGGGGGUCGCUGGUCCGCUGCGAAAGCGGCGUGUACCGAUGCGUACCUACCGCCAUCCUCGGGGGAACUGCGUGUGGGAUUAGUUUCUCGUGCGUAUGGACGCCCGUCAUUUACUGUGAAAAAAUUAGAGUGUUCAAAGCAGGCUUAGGCCGUUGAAUACAUUAGCAUGGAAUAAUAAGAUAGGACCUUGGCGGUCUAUUUUGUUGGUUUGCACGCCAAGGUAAUGAUUAAUAGGGAUAGUUGGGGGUAUUCGUAUUCAAUUGUCAGAGGUGAAAUUCUUAGAUUUAUGGAAGACGAACUACUGCGAAAGCAUUUACCAAGGAUGUUUUCAUUA
rnacentral:rRNA from 1 species